UACGAAGGGUGCUAGCGUUGUUCGGAAUUACUGGGCGUAAAGCGUACGUAGGCGGCUUUGUAAGUCGAUUGUGAAAGCCCCAAGCUCAACUUGGGAAUUGCAAUCGAAACUGCUUGGCUUGAGUUUGGUGGGGGAUGGUGGAAUUUCUAGUGUAGGGGUGAAAUCCGUAGAUAUUAGAAGGAAUACCGGUGGCGAAAGCGACCAUCUGCGCCAAUACUGACGCUAAGGUACGAAAGCGUGGGGAGCAAACAGG
rnacentral:rRNA from 1 species